UACGGAAGGCAGCAGUGGGGAAUAUUGCACAAUGGGCGAAAGCCUGAUGCAGCUAUGCCGCGUGUAUGAAGAAGGCCUUAGGGUUGUAAAGUACUUUUCAUCGGGGAGGAAAAAACAAAAACUAAUAAUUUUAUUUCUUGACGUUACCCGAAAAAGAAGCACCGGCUAACUCCGUGCCAGCAGCCGCGGUAAUACGGAGGGUGCUAGCGUUAAUCAGAAUUACUGGGCGUAAAGGGCACGUAGGUGGUUUUUUAAAGUUCAGAUGUGAAAUCCCUGGGCUUUAACCUAGGAACUGCAUUUUGAAACUGAAAUACUAGAGUAUCGUAGAGGGAGGUAGAAUUCUAGGUGUAGCGGUGAAAUGCGUAGAUAUCUGGAGGAAUACCUGUGGCGAAAGCGGCCUCCUAAACGAAUACUGACACUGAGGGUGCGAAAGGCGUGGGGAGCGAAACAGGGAUUAGAUACC
rnacentral:rRNA from 1 species